rnacentral:rRNA from 1 species
UACGUAGGGACGAGCGUUGUCCGGAAUUACUGGGCGUAAAGGGCGCGCAGGCUGCGCGUCGAGCCGGCUGUUAAAGAUCCAGGCUUAACCCGGUGAAGCGGUCGAGACCGACGAGCUGGAGUGCUGCAGAGGCAAGUGGAAUUCCCGGUGUAGCGGUGAAAUGCGUAGAUAUCGGGAAGAACACCGGUGGCGAAGGCGACUUGCUGGGCAGCAACUGACGCUGAGGCGCGAAAGCCAGGGGAGCAAACGGGAUUAGAUACCCGCGUAGU